rnacentral:rRNA from 1 species
GAGUUUGAUCAUGGCUCAGAUUGAACGCUGGCGGCAUGCCUUACACAUGCAAGUCGAACGGCAGCAUGAUCUAGCUUGCUAGAUUGAUGGCGAGUGGCGAACGGGUGAGUAAUACAUCGGAACGUGCCCUGUAGUGGGGGAUAACUAGUCGAAAGAUUAGCUAAUACCGCAUACGACCUGAGGGUGAAAGUGGGGGACCGCAAGGCCUCAUGCUAUAGGAGCGGCCGAUGUCUGAUUAGCUAGUUGGUGGGGUAAAGGCCCACCAAGGCGACGAUCAGUAGCUGGUCUGAGAGGACGAUCAGCCACACUGGGACUGAGACACGGCCCAGACUCCUACGGGAGGCAGCAGUGGGGAAUUUUGGACAAUGGGCGAAAGCCUGAUCCAGCAAUGCCGCGUGUGUGAAGAAGGCCUGGUUGUAAG